rnacentral:tRNA from 1 species
UCCGGCGUAGCUCAGCUGGCAGAGCGGGUGACUGUUAAUCACCAUGUCGGGAGUUCGAAUCUCUCCGCCGGAGCCA